CAGCGCCACGAGUGGGGACCACUUUUAUUGGGCCUAAAGCGUCCGUAGCCGGUUUAGUAAAUCCUUUGUGAAAUCGGUAAGCUCAACUUACCGGCGUGCAGGGGACACUGCUAAACUUGGAACCGGGAGGAGUCGGAAGUAUUCCUUGGGGAGCGGUAAAAUGCAAUAAUCCAAGAAAGACCACCCGUGGCGAAGGCGUCUAACUAGAACGGUUCUGACAGUGAGGGACGAAAGCCAGGGGAGCGAACCGGAUUAGAUACCCGAGUAGUCC
rnacentral:rRNA from 1 species